rnacentral:rRNA from 1 species
GACGAACGCUGGCGACGCGCUUAACACAUGCAAGUCGAACGGAAAGGCCUGCUUUCCCUUGUGGAUUGCGGGUACUCGCGUGGCGAACGGGUGAGUAACACGUGAGUGAUCUGCCCCCAACUUGGGUAUAAGCCUGGGAAACUGGGUCUAAUUCCCGAUAGGACUGCAGGGUGGUGCCUGUGGUGGAAAACGAUUUUCUAGUGGUUGGGGAUGAGCUCGCGGCCUAUCAGCUUGUUGGUGGGGUAAUGGCCUACCAAGGCGGCGACGGGUAGCCGGCCUGGGGGGGUGGACGGCCACAUUGGGACUGGGGUACGGCCCAGACUCCUACGGGAGGCAGCAGUGGGGGAUAUUGCACAAUGGGCGGAAGCCUGAUGCAGCGACGCCGCGUGGGGGAUGACGGCCUUCGGGUUGUAAACUCCUUUCGACCGCGAGGAAGCCACCUGGUUGGAAGGGUGGUGACGGUAGUGGUAGAAGGGGCACCGGCUAGCUACGUG